AACGAACGCUGGCGGCAGGCUUAACACAUGCAAGUCGAACGCCCCGCAAGGGGAGUGGCAGACGGGUGAGUAACGCGUGGGAACAUACCCUUUCCUGCGGAAUAGCUCCGGGAAACUGGAAUUAAUACCGCAUACGCCCUACGGGGGAAAGAUUUAUCGGGGAAGGAUUGGCCCGCGUUGGAUUAGCUAGUUGGUGGGGUAAAGGCCUACCAAGGCGACGAUCCAUAGCUGGUCUGAGAGGAUGAUCAGCCACAUUGGGACUGAGACACGGCCCAAACUCCUACGGGAGGCAGCAGUGGGGAAUAUUGGACAAUGGGCGCAAGCCUGAUCCAGCCAUGCCGCGUGAGUGAUGAAGGCCCUAGGGUUGUAAAGCUCUUUCGCCGACGAAGAUAAUGACGGUAGUCGGAGAAGAAGCCCCGGCUAACUUCGUGCCAGCAGCCGCCGUAAUAC
rnacentral:rRNA from 1 species